rnacentral:lncRNA from 1 species
GACUUGACUUAUCAGACUCAUCUUCCACCACUGUAGGGAUGGACUCCAUUACAUCACCAUGUGAUAUAGAAUCCAUCGGUACACAGGUAUCUCUCUCUUCCACACGAGUUUGAUCAUCAUUCGGUAAAUCUGUUGCUUGUCUUUGCAUUUUCCACUUCAAUGGGAUUUGGACAGUUAUUCAUAUCAGCUGCUUGUUUUUGUUCAUUGCCAUUUGUGGGCAACAUUAUUUUUUAACAAGAACUGGUUCAUUUGCCAACACAUAAUCUUUCACUUAUCUCUCAUUAUUGCCAUCUUCAUUCUCAUCAUUUUGAACUUCUACAUGU